UGGCUGUUGUCAGCUCGUGUCGUGAGAUGUUGGGUUAAGUCCCGCAACGAGCGCAACCCUUGUCCUUAGUUGCCAGCGGUUCGGCCGGGCACUCUAGGGAGACUGCCGGUGACAAACCGGAGGAAGGUGGGGAUGACGUCAAGUCCUCAUGGCCUUUAUGUCCAGGGCUACACACGUGCUACAAUGGCGCGUACAGAGGGAAGCCAAGCCGCGAGGUGGAGCAGACCCCAGAAAGCGCGUCGUAGUUCGGAUUGCAGUCUGCAACUCGACUGCAUGAAGUCGGAAUCGCUAGUAAUCGCGGAUCAGCAUGCCGCGGUGAAUACGUUCCCGGGCCUUGUACACACCGCCC
rnacentral:rRNA from 1 species